AUGUGGCGACGGAGAUCGUCCCGCAUCGUCAGCCCCAGGCAGUGCCGUACUCCUCGUGAACACGGACCAGCGGCGGUUGGACUGGAGCCAAAAGGCAGUGGGGAAGGUGGGUCGAUGCGGGCCUGUCUUGCAUUGACAAUUUAUAGCCCCGCUGUAUGGUGCUCCGGUCUGACCGAGGAAGUUGGGCAGCCCUUGCCCGUUGUGGUACACGCCGAAUGGCGGGGCCUCCCAACACGAGCUAACCGUGCGGCGUGGACUGCACGCAGUGCCCAUCGUGGCGGCGAUCUCGUGGUGGAGAGCGUCACUUGUGUGCCAGUGCUGCUGGUAUUCAGAU
rnacentral:misc_RNA from 1 species